GCGGGCGUGGCGAAACCGGUAGACGCAAGGGACUUAAAAUCCCUCACCCUAAGGUAUGCGGGUUCGAGUCCCGCCGCCCGCACCA
rnacentral:tRNA from 3 species